UGGCGGUGUAGCUCAGUGGUAGAGCAAGCGACUCAUAAUCGCUGUGUCGCGAGUUCAAUUCUCGCCAUCGCUACCGG
rnacentral:tRNA from 1 species